rnacentral:sRNA from 1 species
CACCGAUUGAAGUUUGAGCUAGCAGUGCAGUGUCGAUCUGUCAUUUCUUUUCUUGCUUCAAAGGAUAGACCGGGCGCAAGCCCAUUAACUGAAAUAGGAAUGUAGUAAUGGCAACAGGCAUUGUUAAGUGGUUCAAUGACGCAAAAGGUUUUGGUUUCAUCACUCCGGACGAAGGCGGCGAAGAUCUGUUCGCACACUUCUCCGCAAUCCAGUCCAACGGAUUCAAGUCGCUGAAGGAAAAUCAGCGCGUAUCGUUUGAAGUGACGACUGGCCCGAAGGGCAAGCAAGCAUCGAACAUUCAGCCCCUGUAAUUUCGGACUGAUUCAGUAAAAACCCCGGCAUGCCGGGGUUUUUUCA